UAUGAGGGAAGAAAAUUAGGAACUGAACUGAACUGAUUGGAGCUGAACUGAACUAAACUAAAUAUAAGCUAAAGGGAGAAGGCCCUUAAUAGUAAUUUUUGUGUAUUAUUAUGCAUGCAGUGAUACUUUUUGUCAUCCUUUGUUGUUGAUUUUAAUAUAUUAUCUUGAUUUGUAACAAAUUGUAAUAAGUUGAUACUUUCUUCAUAUUUUUUAAUUACUUUCUAAAUUUUCCUUUUAACAUCGUACCUUAUUACUUGCUCAUUUACAUUUUUAGAAACUUUUAACAAUAUUUUACAACUUUCUUCCUCACUAGUAGUCUCCACAUAUCAUAUGUUAAUAUAUAUAUUUUUAUAUUCUGUCCCCUCCACAUGUAUAUCAGUUUGGUUUUUGAGGUUUUUUUUUUAUUUUUUUUAUUUUUUUAUUUUUUUUAUAGGUUUUAACCAACCCCACUUCCAUUAUAAAAUAAUACGAAAAACUUUAAAAUAUCAUACACUAUGGUGAAUCCGUUAUCUACACCCAAAGCCACCACAACUUCAAUUUUUUAUACGGUACAUAAGAUAUUUUACAUAACAUCAUAUGUAUUCAUAAAAAGCUUUAGUCAAAUUGAUAUACUAGUAUAAAUAGUAUAAUAGAAGUCAAACAAUUUUGUUAUUUUUAGCAUGAAUGUAUGUUGUAUAUUAUACUCAAUUACUUAGUAGAUCUCAAUUAUUUCCCAUCCCUAAAAAAAAACGGAGGCAAGCAAACAAAGAAAAAUAAACCCCAACCCCUUAUCUUUUCUUCUGCCAUUAUUUCCCCAAAAAUAAGCCUUCGUAGCUUCCGCCAAAAGAACCAAACAACCCACCAAAUCUUCUUAUCUUUUCUUCAGAUCAAUUUCAAAAACUCAUGUAUUAAAAUGGAAAAAAAUAAAAUUCUUGAUUAUCUUGGCGGAAUUAGGACUCAAAAUAGUGAAAUUUUCGAGACUGAACUAGCCCAAAAAUUGAGAGGGAAUUUUUAUUUUUUCAUCUGUUAUUCCCUCCCUUUGUCUAUCUUUCUUUAUAAAAAAUUUCUCCUUUAAUUUUACCCUAUGCAAUCGCAAAAGAUAAAUCUUAUAAAAUCAUACUGCUUGAACUCGGAGAGGAACCAAACCAAGAAAAUUAUCGAUUGGAAGCAACCAAAUUUGAUUUAUUUGUUGGAGUACUUAUCACCGUCCAAGCUCCAAAAUGUCAAAAUCAGGAGGAAAGAUUCUUUCAAUAGAAAAUGAGUAUGAACUACGAAGACUCAAGAUAAUUGAAGCUAACAAGACGAGGAUGAAAACGUUGGCAUAAAGCGCAUUGCUGCUUCUUUAACAAGCUUAGUAGAUAGCUCAAAAGUUUAGAAAAAUAAACAAAAGUAUAAUGCAUCUCUUGAGAAAGAUGGUGAUUAUCUACCCGAUGAGAAUGAGGAAGUUGAGUAUGAGAAAGAAACUCACAAUGUAUCAUCAAACAAAAAGGUUGAUGAUAACGUCAAUGAGGAUGAAGAUGAGGAUGAGGAUGAGGAUGAAAAGGGUGAUGAAAUGCAAGUAGAUAAAGAGUAACAGUACUACUUUUUUAAUUCAUUGAAAUUAUAUAAUGAAGAUGGCUAGAGAUCGAAUUAGAA